GACGCCUACGGGAGGCAGCAGUGAGGAAUAUUGGUCAAUGGCCGAGAGGCUGGACCAGCCAAGUCGCGUGAGGGAAGACGGCCCUACGGGUUGUAAACCUCUUUUGUCGGGGAGCAAAGAGAGUCACGUGUGACUCAUUGAGAGUACCCGAAGAAAAAGCAUCGGCUAACUUCGUGCUAGCAGCCGCGGUAAUACGGAGGAUGCGAGCGUUAUCCGGAUUUAUUGGGUUUAAAGGGUGCGCAGGCGGAGGGGCAAGUCAG
rnacentral:rRNA from 1 species